rnacentral:rRNA from 1 species
CCUACGGGAGGCAGCAGUGAGGAAUAUUGGUCAAUGGGCGGAAGCCUGAACCAGCCAAGUCGCGUGAGGGAUUAAGGCCCUGCGGGUCGUAAACCUCUUUUGCCGGGGAGCAGAGGUCCGGACGUGACCGGGCCGUGCGAGUACCCGGAGAAAAAGCAUCGGCUAACUCCGUGCCAGCAGCCGCGGUAAUACGGUGGAUGCGGGCGUUACCUGGAUUUAUUGGGUUUAAAGGGUGCGUAGGCGGGCGGGUAAGUUAGAGGUGAAAUCCCGGGGCUUAACUUCGGAAUUGCCUUUGAUACUGUUGGGCUAGAGUGUAGUUGCGGUAGGCGGAAUGCAUGGUGUAGCGGUGAAAUGCUUAGAGAUCAUGCAGAACACCGAUUGCGAAGGCAGCUUACCGGGGUACUUCUGACGUUGAGGCACGAAAGCGUGGGGAGCAAACAGGAUUAGAUACCCGGGUAGUC